rnacentral:misc_RNA from 1 species
GAUGAAGAACGUAGCGAAAUGCGAUAAGUAAUGUGAAUUGCAGAAUUCAGUGAAUCAUCGAAUCUUUGAACGCACAUUGCGCCCCUUGGUAUUCCGAGGGGCAUGCCUGUUCAAGCGUCAUUAUAACCCUCAAGCUCAGCUUGGUGUUGGGGACUGCUGCACUGGCAGCCCUUAAAAUCAGUGGCGGCGCCAUCUGGCUCUAAGCGUAGUAAUUCUUCUCGCUAUGGAGUCCUGGUGGAUGCUUGCCAUCAACCCCCAAUUUUUCUAUGGUUGACCUCGGAUCAGGUAGGGAUACCCGCUGAACUUAAGCAUAUCAAUAAGCGGAGGA